rnacentral:lncRNA from 1 species
UGCCAAGGCGCUCCCAGAUCCUCUUGGGGCUCCAUCCCUUCUCCGCUCUUUCCCACCCGGGACUUCUGGGAAAUGCCUGUGGAAAGCAGCGAACCUGUUUCUGUCUAAUGUAGGCGAGCCUUCCAGAGAUGAGCGGGCUCUGUGCCUUCCUGGAGAAGCAUUUCCUCGGUGAGGAGGUGAAACUGAUCAGCAAGCUGGGCGACCACGUGACCCAGCUGCGCAGGCUUGCUGGCCAGCAGGCGGGGCGGGGCGGGACGGGGCGGGUCGAGUUACCUCUUUGGAAGGCUCACCCUCAAGCACCACUAGGAGUCUCUGGAGCCCAGAGGCCGUGGGGGAGGGCACUCUUCCCCCAGCCUGCGGGCGCCUGCCCGAGCCCCUCCAGCCAGGAGGCAUCUUUCUAACUGCCCGCUUGUAGCCCCCUAACAAGCCCUGAGCCAAGGGUCAACAAUAAAGCUAUUGGCAGCAGGUGCUGAUGGUGUGUGUGUGCGUGUCUGGCCCGGGACUAUGGAAGGGUGGAACCCUCCCCCGUGGGUGGUGUGCUGUAGGCACUUCAGGCCGAGCCAUUUCUGACUCCAGGGAGGGUUGAGCUAAGUGGGUAGCAGGAAGCAGGCGGAGAGUUUUCCAGUGUAACAGGAAGCAGAAAGGGGUCCUGGGCAGGUGGAAGUGACUAUGGAAAUGAGCUCUGGAAAGCAAGCACACAAGAGGAGCUCUGAGGGCCGCUUCCCCCCUGCCCGCCCGCCGGCCCGCCCGGGCUUGGAAGAGAUCAGGCCCGUCUUGAACGCUAGGGUCUUCCCCAAUGUCAAGCACAGACUCGGUAGCAACAACGACUGAGGAUCUGAGCAGCCGGGAGCUUCAGAUGGACGAGAAGUGCUGAGCUGGGGUUUUGGGUCUCAGUGGAGAGAGGAGAGGGGAAAGUAGGGUUCCUAUUCUCUACCCGAGAACGGAAGGAGCUUGCAGCAUG